rnacentral:rRNA from 1 species
UGGGGAAUAUUGCACAAUGGGCGCAAGCCUGAUGCAGCCAUGCCGCGUGUAUGAAGAAGGCCUUCGGGUUGUAAAGCACUUUCAGCGGGGAGGAAGGCGAUAAGGUUAAUAACCUUGUCGAUUGACGUUACCCGCAGAAGAAGCACCGGCUAACUCCGUGCCAGCAGCCGCGGUAAUACGGAGGGUGCAAGCAUUAAUCGGAAUUACUGGGCGUAAAGCGCACGCAGGCGGUCUGUCAAGUCGGAUGUGAAAUCCCCGGGCUCAACCUGGGAACUGCAUUCGAAACUGGCAGGCUAGAGUCUUGUAGAGGGGGGUAGAAUUCCAGGUGUAGCGGUGAAAUGCGUAGAGAUCUGGAGGAAUACCGGUGGCGAAGGCGGCCCCCUGGACAAAGACUGACGCUCAGGUGCGAAAGCGUGGGGAGCAAACAGG